GCAUCAUUUUUCUGGAAAGAAUAUUGUUGAUCUGCCUGAAACCAGAAGAUGUUUUUUCUGAUAUCCAUUUGCAGGCCACUGAAAAACAGGUAAUCCAAACCCAGCACAACAGGAAAAGCAAGCAUCUCAGAAGCCAAAACCACCACAGGUAAGUAUAUUGUUGAAGUUUGAACGGUGAUAUGAACUUCUCCCCAUCCUAAAGGUUGUCGGGCUCCUCCAUCAGCUAAAUAAAUUGGACCUUCUGUCCAAGGCUUGAGGUGUUGAAUAUGAUGACCCAUAGUUUCCCAUAGUUUCUCAUUCAGAAGGGUGUAUGAAGAUCCAGUGUCCACCAAACCAUGUCCUUUCCAGGUAUGGAUGGUUACAGGAACCAACAACUGCUGAGGAAGAUAUGAAGAAAAGGGACAAGUAGUUUGGAUUCUGACCAGAACUGUUCUGUGGACAUGAAGCUGGAGGAUGAGUUGUUGACCAAGACGGACAAGACCAUCCACAGUAUUAACACCGUUGCUGCGCAGUUGACUUGCCAUUUGUGGGUUUAUGUUCUUAAGAAUCAGCUUGAUGAUUUCUUCCUCUGUGAUGAGUGGUUUCCAGCGUUUACACAAAGCUCUAUACAUGUAAGCAAAAUCUCUAAUACCUUCACCUUCUUGUUGUACACGUGUUCGCACUCUCUCUGCCAAUUCAUCCUCGUAAUCUUCAGAUAGAAAGGCAGCAAGAAACUUGGAUUCAAAAUCCUGCCAAGUAGUGGUUUCAUGUCUAGCGAAAUCCCACCAGUCUCUAGCUGUUCCAUGAAGCACAUUCCGGAGUGUGGCUAUUAACUCUUCAUCAGAAAGUGGAUGCAGUGACAUGAAAUCAUAACACUUCUCCAAGAAUAUUAGAGGAUCCUCACAAUCUUCAAAGCGUCCAAAACAAGGAAAUUGAAUCUUAAUUGGCUGUUUUCCCAAAAACCUUACUCUUCCUUCCACAGGGGGUGUACCAAAUUCCGUAGCAGAAUGAAAAUCUGAAUCACCCAUUCCAGAUUGUAAAGUGGAAUGAAGCCGCUGUAACCUGGGGUUCACCACUGGAGAAUCUACCACAUUAGAAGAUGGAAAGAGAACUGUUUGCACUGAAGCAUUUGCUUUUGUGGAAAUUUGCUGUGAUGAUUUUAGACUUUUGAUGUCCAGUGUCAAUUGUUGAAGCUUUUGUGUACACUGCUGUACCUCAUUCUGUAAAGUUGAAUUGGAAUUGGACUCCGCAAUAAAGGUAUUCAUUUGUUGUACACAUUGAUCCGUU